UACUAGAGUAGCACUCGCAUAUCAAUAAGCGGAGGAAAAGAAACUAACAAGGAUUCCCCUAGUAACGGCGAGUGAAGCGGGAAGAGCUCAAAUUUGAAAUCUUAAAGGGUUUCCCUUUACGAAUUGUAGUUUAAAGAAGUGUUUUCUGUUGAGGUUUUGGUAAAAGUUCUUUGGAAUAGGACAUCAUAGAGGGUGAGAAUCCCGUAUUUGACCUUUACUUUCAACUUUGUGAUACACUUCCAAAGAGUCGGAUUGUUUGGGAAUGCAGUCCAAAAUGGGUGGUAAAUUUCAUCUAAAGCUAAAUAUUGGCGAGAGACCGAUAGCGAACAAGUACCGUGAGGGAAAGAUGAAAAGAACUUUGAAAAGAGAGUUAAACAGUACGUGAAAUUGUCAAAAGGGAAGCGUUUGACACCAGUGUUGUUUUUCUGAAAAUCAAUUAAAGAACUGUUUAUGCUAAGCUGUUUAGACUUUAUCAGCUAUCUGUUUAGUUUUGAGCUUUUCUUUAAUGCACUUUUCAGUUAACAAGUCAACAUCAAUUUCUUUUGCUGUAAAAAAGCUUGAGGAAGGUGGCUUGAGAUUCGUCUUAAGUGUUUAUAGCCUCUUGCCUAUGCAGUCGGAGAGAUUGAGGUCUGCAGCGUAGAUCCUUCGGGGCUAAAUGCAUUUGUGCUAAGUUAUAGCAUUUCAUAGACAACUUGUUGACUAUGAUUUGUCUUGUAGCUUACUCGCUUAUGUUAUUUUACCUACGCUUAGGAUGUUGAGUCAUCACACAUCUCU
rnacentral:rRNA from 1 species